GGAUUAGAUACCCUGGUAGUCCACGCCGUAAACGAUGUCUGCUAGCCGUUGGGGAACUUGAGUCUUUAGUGGCGCAGCUAACGCAAUAAGCAGACCGCCUGGGGAGUACGGCCGCAAGGUUAAAACUCAAAUGAAUUGACGGGGGCCCGCACAAGCGGUGGAGCAUGUGGUUUAAUUCGAUGCAACGCGAAGAACCUUACCAGGGCUUGACAUCCAGCGAACUUUCCAGAGAUGGAUAGGUGCCUUCGGGAACGCUGUGACAGGUGCUGCAUGGCUGUCGUCAGCUCGUGCCG
rnacentral:rRNA from 1 species